CACACACAACACGUCGUUAUUUGUGUAUUGUAUCACGCAACCUUUUCUCCGAAAAGUCCCAAAAUUAGUUGAUAGUUGGCCAAUAACUCUCCCCAUCUACGGACCUAAUGUUGAGAAUUCUUCACAGUUUAAAAGGAGCUAGUUCUAAUUUAUCUCAUCCACGUUCAGAACACGAAUUAGGGGGGAAAAAACAGCAAAACCGACAGCUGACACUAAAAUACACUGGAUAUUUGUGUGUAUAGGAGAAAACGCCGUGACAAUUCGAGGAACGAUGAUACAAAAUGUACGGAACUGACUCGAGCAUGUAGAUAUAUAAUAAUAAUAUUGUACGUGCAUGUUUGGUUGAAUUUAAAAGAGUCGGAAUGGAGCUCGAGACUCUCCAGAGUGGAUGGAUUGGGGAUUUAUAGGGGGGAGAUAGGAAUGUGAGUAUUCAAGUCAAAAACGAGUGUAGAGGAUAGAAAGAAAGAGAGAAAGAAAGGCACGCUAGGAAUUUAAAGAUGGCGGAAAUCUUACCCUAAAGGAAAACAACAACGGAAGCAAUCCAGGAUCCCCUCUUUGGAAUAAAUAACGAAACCACGAAGAGAGAGAUGCAAAAGUACACACGAUAUGACUAAGGAAUGAGAAUGGUAUGCCAGGAAUGGCACAAAGGAAUCUCGCUUAUGCGGCAAAGGACGGUCCGGGUCGGAGAGGAACGCAAGCGCCACUAGCUACCUCUUCUUCUUCUUCUUUUUCUCCUCCACUCAUUACACUGCGCACAUCGCACACCCUCACUGCACGCUUUCAACGCGUAUUCCAUCCCUACGCAAUACACACAUACUACUCCUACUGCCCUCUAUAUCACUCCAUUCAUCCUUAUCCACGACGAAAACUCGGAUUAUGGACUUGUGAGGCAUCAAACAUCAAAGCAUUAUCAUCUGGACUCUUUAUUACAAAUUUCCUUUUAGAACUCGAGUGAGUAAAUCCAAGUUUGUCUAUAUGACGAUUACCAAGAGAACAAGUAGCGACCUCUACUGAAGAGGAAAAUGAAAGAAAAAAAAAAAAAGAA
rnacentral:lncRNA from 1 species